rnacentral:rRNA from 1 species
UGGUAUACCAUUCAUUGAGAAUAUUGGGCAUAUUAUGGUCAAGGAGGUUAGCAUUUCAGUGUUAGAUGGGCUGUUUCAUUGGGGAGAUGACCUUCUUUAAUCGAACUAAAGGUUCACAAAGCUAUUGAUGUGGGCUUUGAUAAAGGACUAGUAAGUGCAAAGAUAGAUGUGUGGCUUAAUGGUCAAGCGUUUGAUCCAGUAUUUAAAUGGUGUCUUAGUGACCUUAAAAUUAAUUUAUCAAAUAAAAGCUACUCUAGGGAUAACAGGCUUAAUUUUUUGGAUAGCUCACAUUAACAAAAUGGUUUUGCACCUCGAUGUCGGCUUAUCUUUUCCAAAUGGAAAGCAAUCAAUCAGGAGUGGGAGUGCUCAUCCCAUAACAAGGUACGUGAGCUGGGUUCAGAACGAUGUAAAUCAGUUUGGUCUAUAUCUGUAACUUUAAAUGCAAUGAAUAGUAGUGUUGUUUGCUCAGUACGCAAGGACCGGCAACA